rnacentral:rRNA from 1 species
ACGGAAGGCAGCAGUGGGGAAUAUUGGGCAAUGGGCGAAAGCCUGACCUAGCGACGCCGCGUGAGGGAAGAAGGUCUUCGGAUUGUAAACCUCUUUCAGCAGGGAAGAAGCAAGUGACGGUACCUGCGGAAGAAGUCACGGCUAACUACGUGCCAGCAGCCGCGGUAAUACGUAGGUGGCGAGCGUUAUCCGGAAUUACUGGGUGUAAAGGGUGUGUAGGCGGAGAAGCAAGUCAGGCGUGAAAUUUAUGGGCUCAACCCAUAAACUGCGCUUGAAACUGUUUCCCUUGAGAGUGGGAGAGGUAAACGGAAUUCCUGGUGUAGUAGUGAAAUGCGUAGAUAUCAGGAGGAACACCGGUGGCGAAGGCGGUUUACUGGACCACAACUGACGCUGAGACACGAAAGCGUGGGGAGCAAACAGGAUUAGAUACCCUGGUA